AUCUGAGUGGAUAAUGUCUCUUUUUGGGGAUCAGUCCCAUAUGCAAGUGGCCAUGUCUUGAGUGUUUGCUGUGAUUACACUGGACCAGUGUCUGCGGGAUGAGAAGUCUUCCUGGCGAAAUCAAGUGCUGUUCCACUGGAUGUCAUAAGUACUGAAAGCCACUAUUGAUGGCACUAAAGCCACUAUUGAUUGAGGCGGGGCCAUCGGUGACAUUGCCAAGCAGAGUCUCAGACCGAGUUCCAGGACAGGGAGCUGUGUGGAUCUGGAUAUCACCAUACAGACUUAUUUUGUGGGGCAUCGUUGGGCCCUAGAAAUCGAGAGCCUAUCCCCACAUUCUGAUGACUGUUAUUUAAUCCACUAACUGUUUAAUUGUUACCUGAUUAAAUGAUUAUGUAACAAUUAAAUCAUUAGGAUUUGGGGCACGACGGUAGAAGUUGUUUAGAGUUACCAUCUCCCGAAUAAAACUAAGGUCUUUACCUAUAACAUAGAUAAAGUUACCUUAUUAAUCAUUACCUCUUAUCAAAUACUUAUUCUGAAUGCUCAUAACCUUGGAUCUGCAAAAACCUCAGCCUUGCGCAUUAUUUAUUACCAGAGCAAUUGGUGUAAUUUAUGCACAUGAACCGCCGCCUGUUUGGAAUAAAAAAUCAAUGCAUUUGUGUGAAAUGCCUUCAUUCAUCGUGUAUCUCGGUCGGAAACCAAGCCUUCUCUGAAAGUUGUGGGUGUAAGGCUCUGAUUGUCCACGAGGUCAAUGUCCGUAGUUGUCUGUGGCUUCAAUAACUUGUCAUUUAGUCUGGGGCAGAAUGAGUGGAACUGUUCCCUUCCACUGGUUCUGGAAGAUUGGUCCUCUGAAGACAGGCUAAUCAGCCGUGUCAAUGAUUCCCAUUGGUGAUGAGCAUAGUAGGAUAGUUGUUUAGGUAAAAUUUUCUUGAUAUCUGAUG